rnacentral:lncRNA from 1 species
UCCGGUUCCGGUAGCAGCUAGUCACGCUCGGUACCAGGCGCAGAUCAUGGCAGGCAGCCGGCUGGAAACCGUAGGGAGCAUCUUCUCUCGGUGUGUGCUCCCAGCCGUGGUGGGCUGAGGGUGCCUCCCCCAGGCUGGGGUUCUCAGCCGGUCACGCUCUUCCUUGGAGCGGACCUGAGCAGGGCGAGGCGUAUUGCAGGGUGCGGGGGCUGAGCUGGGACUCGGGACCUGGUUCGGGCCGGGGUGCUGAAGGAGAAGCCCCUGUGGUUUGACGUAUAUGACGCCUUUCCCCCGCUGAGGGAGCCCGUCUUCCAAAGGCCUCGAGUGCGAUAUGGCAAAGCCAAAGCUCCCAUCCAAGACAUCUGGUACCACGAGGAUCGGAUUAGAGCGAAGUUUUAUUCAGUGUAUGGGUCUGGUCAAAGAGCUUUUGAUCUAUUCAAUCCAAACUUCAAGUCUACCUGUCAACGGUUUGUGGAGAAGUACACUGAGCUACAGAAACUUGGAGAAACAGAUGAA